UAUCGCUCGGGUUUCUCUUCAUCCCGUAUAAAUCUUUCGCCUUUUACUAAAGAUUUCCGUGGAGGGGAACACCUCCGAGUUUACGGUAUUUUUUGGAAGCUCUGCUUUUGGCGGAGCU
rnacentral:snRNA from 1 species